UACGUAGGGGGCCAGCGUUGCUCGGAAUUACUGGGCGUAAAGGGUUCGUAGGCGGUGCGGCAAGUUGGGAGUGAAAUCUCUGGGCUCAACCCAGAGGCUGCUUCCAAAACUGCUGUGCUUGAGUGUGAGAGAGGCUCGUGGAAUUGCAGGUGUAGCGGUGAAAUGCGUAGAUAUCUGCAGGAACACCCGUGGCGAAGGCGGCUGACUGGAUCGCAACUGACACUGAGGAACGAAAGCUAGGGGAGCAAACAGG
rnacentral:rRNA from 1 species